rnacentral:tRNA from 1 species
GGGUCUGUAGCGUAAUCCGGCAACGCGACUGGCUCCAGACCAGUAGAUUGCGGGUUCAAAUCCCGUCAGGCCCA